CCGCACAGCCGGGGAGAUAGCGGUGCCCUGUACCUGCAAUCCGCUACAGCAGGGGUGUUGUCCCGCCCCGGGUGACAUGCGGCGGAGCUUGCCCCUUAUAAGUGGCGUUGAUGUCUGGGUCUUGCGCAACAGAAUUCUGUGAACCGUGUCAGGGCAGGAAUGCAGCAGCACUAAGCGGAACCCUCUGUGUGCCGCGAGGGAGCCUGGCCUGAGCAGGCUGUAAGGGUAACGGCCGCCAAUUGAGCUCAAAGCGGGACGUGCGG
rnacentral:SRP_RNA from 1 species